rnacentral:rRNA from 1 species
UGGUGAUUGGUGAUAGCACGUUCAAAGCACCAGUUCCCAAUGAUUCACUGAAGUUAAGUAACGUUAUGCGUGAUUGGUACGUGAAUGGGUGACCAUCUGGUAUACAUAAACCUCAGGAG